rnacentral:rRNA from 1 species
CGUGCCUAACACAUGCAAGUCGAACGGGGUAUAUAAGCGGAAGUUUACGGAUGGAAGGUUAUAUACUUAGUGGCGGACGGGUGAGUAACGCGUGGGCAACCUGCCCCGUGCCGGGGGAUACCGCCUGGAAACAGGCGCUAAUACCGCAUAAGCGCAUACAACCGCAUGGGUGUAUGCGGAAAGCUCCGGCGGCACGGGAUGGGCCCGCGCCCGAUUAGCCAGUUGGCGGGGUAACGGCCCACCAAAGCGACGAUCGGUAGCCGGCCUGAGAGGGCGGACGGCCACAUUGGGACUGAGACACGGCCCAAACUCCUACGGGAGGCAGCAGUGGGGAAUAUUGCACAAUGGGGGAAACCCUGAUGCAGCAACGCCGCGUGGGUGAAGGAGCGUUUCGGCGCGUAAAGCCCUGUCAGCGGGGAAGAAGAAAGACGGUACCCGACCAAGAAGCCCCGGCUAACUACGUGCCAGCAGCCGCGGUAAUACGUAGGGGGCGAGCGUUAUCCGGAAUUACUGGGUGUAAAGGGAGCGUAGACGGCGAGGUAAGCCUGAAGUGGAAGCCCGCGGCCCAACCGCGGAACUGCUUUGGGAACUGUUUUGCUGGAGUAUGGGAGGGGUAAGCGGAAUUCCUGGUGUAGCGGUGAAAUGCGUAGAUAUCAGGAGGAACACCGGUGGCGAAGGCGGCUUACUGGACCAUAACUGACGUUGAGGCUCGAAAGCGUGGGGAGCGAACAGGAUUAGAUACCCUGGUAGUCCACGCCGUAAACGAUGAUUACCAGGUGUCGGGGGUGAAAGGCGGUCCGGUGCCCGCCACGCCCGCAGCCGUAAUCCACCUGGGGAGUACGUUCGCAGGAACGAAACUCAAAGGAAUUGUCGGGGUCCCGCCCAAGCGGUGGAGCAUGUGGUUUAAUUAGUCGCAACGCGAAGAACCUUACCCGGCCUUGACAUCCCCUGGGCAGCAUAUGUAAUGAAUGUUUCCUUCGGGACCAGGGAGACAGGUGGUGCAUGGUUGUCGUCAGCUCGUGUCGUGAGAUGUUGGGUCAAGUCCCGCAACGAGCGCAACCCUUGUUACUAGUUGCCAGCAUUAAGUUGGGCACUCUAGUGAGACUGCCGGUGACAAACCGGAGGAAGGUGGGGCCGACGUCAGAUCAUCAUGCCCCUUAUGACCUGGGCUACACACGUGCUACAAUGGACGGUACAACGAGUCGCAAGCUCGCGAGAGUAAGCUAAUCUCUUAAAGCCGUUCUCCGUUCAAAAAGUAGGCUGCAACUCGCCUACACGAAGUCGGAAUCGCUAGUAAUCGCGGAUCAGCAUGCCGCG